GACGAACGCUGGCGGCGUGCUUAACACAUGCAAGUCUACGAGAACAAGGUAGCAAUAUCUUUAUUAAAGUGGCGCACGGGUGAGUAACACGUAAGUAAUCAACCCUUAGAUUUGGAAUAACCCCGAGAAAUCGGGGCUAAUACCGAAUGAUGCAGCGGCACCGCAUGGUGAUGUUGUUAAAGUCUAUAUGGCGUCUAAGGACGAACUUGCGCCUGAUUAGUUAGUUGGUGAGGUAUUGGCUCACCAAGGCUACGAUCAGUAGCUGGUCUGAGAGGAUGAUCAGCCACACUGGAACUGAGACACGGUCCAGACUCCUACGGGAGGCAGCAGUGAGGAAUAUUGGGCAAUGCCCGAAAGGGUGACCCAGCAACGCCGCGUGGAGGAUGAAAGCCGUAAGGUUGUAAACUCCUGUUAGAGGGGAAGAACAAUCCCGAUCGACUCGGGAUCUGACUGUACCCUCAGAGAAAGCCCCGGCUAACUACGUG
rnacentral:rRNA from 1 species